CCAGUGGCAGUGGGGCGGCUGCUCGCACAACAUCGACUUCGGCGUCCGCUUCUCGCGGCUCUUCCUCGACGUGAGGGAGCGCGCGGGCGACCUGCAGUCGCGGAUCAACCUCCACAACAACCAGGCCGGCCGCCUCGCGCUGUCGAGCAACACGGUGCUGCGCUGCAAGUGCCACGGCAUGUCGGGCAGCUGCGAGCUGAAGACGUGCUGGCGCGCCGUGCCCGACUUCCGGCGAGUCGGCGACGCGCUCAUGGCGCGCUUCCGCACCGCAGUCCUCGUCGACCAGUCCAACCUGGGCAGCGGUUCUCCUCUCACGAUCGCCGAAGACAACACGAGACGGCCGUCGUCCGGUGAGCGGAGCGACGAGGCGAAACCGGGGGCGGCGGGUGGCCGCGGCGGCGGGGG